GUGACUUUUUGACCAUUUGUGUAAAUAGGAAUUUCCUUAUGUUAUGUCAACUCUGUACUAUAAGUAAAUGUAUUCUUUCAUCUUUUCCAUGAAUUAAUUUGCAUUGUCUUUACUUGAAAGAGAAUGAAAGCUAAACUUUUUCUAAAGAUGGGUAACUCUGAAGCAUGGAUGUUGAUUUGAAACAUUAUUUUCUCUAGUACCAACCUUAAUGAAAUGGAAACUCAUCUAAGCAAAGACCAGAGAAAAAGAAAAAUAGCGGAAAACACUUCUGGUAACUCAUCAGAACCAAGUUUUACUUGUGUUAAGAAAGAGAAACGAGAUGACUUUAAGGACCUGUGCAGUAUGAUCCUUACCGAAAUAGAAAAUCAUGAGGAUGCAUGACCUUUUCAUCUUCCUGUAAAUUUGAACUUUGUUCCUGGUUAUACCAAAGUUAUUAAGAAGCCUAUGGAUUUUUCCACAAUUAGAGAGAAAUUAAUUAGUGGACAGGUAAAGUGGCUUCCUGGUUGCAGUUAAUGAUUUUUGUUAAAACCACUUCAGACUCCUGCCAGGGAGUGACCACUGUCAGUGGGCUUUAGUUGGUUCUGGUUACUGGACUCUUGUGGAACCACAGGAAGGAAUGAGGCUGUUUGUUUACAGAACAAACCCACAUAAAGCAUUUCACGUGAGAAUGGCCAGGAGCUGUGGAGCUGCA